rnacentral:tRNA from 1 species
GUUCCUGGUGGAGCAGUGGCGCCGUCGCCACACCGGCUUCGACCUGGUGCGGGUGGCGGCCCUGGGCCGGCCGGCGGUGUUCUCGCUCGUCGUGGGCACC